rnacentral:rRNA from 1 species
UACGUAGGUGGCAAGCGUUGUCCGGAUUUACUGGGCGUAAAGAGCGCGCAGGCGGUCGUAUAAGUCGAAUGUGAAAGCCCCCGGCUCAACUGGGGAGGGUCAUUCGAUACUGUUCGACUCGAAGGCAGGAGAGGGAAGUGGAAUUCCGGGUGUAGUGGUGAAGUGCGUAGAUAUCCGGAGGAACACCAGUGGCGAAGGCGACUUUCUGGCCUGUUCUUGACGCUGAGGCGCGAAAGCUAGGGGAGCAAACGGG